rnacentral:rRNA from 1 species
GACGAACGCUGGCGGCGUGCCUAAUACAUGCAAGUCGAACGCUGAAGGAGGAGCUUGCUUCUCUGGAUGAGUUGCGAACGGGUGAGUAACGCGUAGGUAACCUGCCUGGUAGCGGGGGAUAACUAUUGGAAACGAUAGCUAAUACCGCAUAAUAGUAGAUGUUGCAUGACAUUUGCUUAAAAGGUGCAAUUGCAUCACUACCAGAUGGACCUGCGUUGUAUUAGCUAGUUGGUGGGGUAACGGCUCACCAAGGCGACGAUACAUAGCCGACCUGAGAGGGGGAUCGGCCACACUGGGACUGAGACACGGCCCAGACUCCUACGGGAGGCAGCAGUAGGGAAUCUUCGGCAAUGGGCGGAAGUCUGACCGAGCAACGCCGCGUGAGUGAAGAAGGUUUUCGGAUCGUAAAGCUCUCUUGUAAGAGAAGAACGAGUGUGAGAGUGGAAAGUUCACACUGUGACGGUAUCUUACCAGAAAGGGACGGCUAACUACGUG